rnacentral:rRNA from 1 species
UACGUAGGUGGCAAGCGUUGUCCGGAAUUACUGGGUGUAAAGGGCGUGUAGGCGGGAUCCUAAGUCAGAUGUGAAACUCCGCGGCUCAACUGCGGAACUGCAUCUGAAACUGGGGUUCUUGAGUGCUGGAGAGGAAAGCGGAAUUCCUAGUGUAGCGGUGAAAUGCGUAGAUAUUAGGAGGAACACCAGUGGCGAAGGCGGCUUUCUGGACAGUAACUGACGCUGAGGCGCGAAAGCGUGGGGAGCAAAC